UGGGGAAUAUUGGACAAUGGGCGCAAGCCUGAUCCAGCCAUGCCGCGUGAGUGAUGAAGGCCUUAGGGUUGUAAAGCUCUUUCAGUGGGGAAGAUAAUGACGGUACCCACAGAAGAAGCCCCGGCUAACUUCGUGCCAGCAGCCGCGGUAAUACGAAGGGGGCUAGCGUUGUUCGGAUUUACUGGGCGUAAAGCGCACGUAGGCGGAUUGGUCAGUUAGGGGUGAAAUCCCAGAGCUCAACUCUGGAACUGCCUCUAAUACUGCCAAUCUCGAGUCCGGAAGAGGUGAGUGGAACUCCUAGUGUAGAGGUGGAAUUCGUAGAUAUUAGGAAGAACACCAGUGGCGAAGGCGGCUCACUGGUCCGGUACUGACGCUGAGGUGCGAAAGCGUGGGGAGCAAACA
rnacentral:rRNA from 1 species